CUUCUCGUGGUGUAGUUGGCAACGCGCCUGUCUAGUGAGUAGGAGUCGUGAGUUCGAGUCUCACCGAGAGGA
rfam:Aedes albopictus isolate Foshan contig63059, whole genome shotgun sequence.